UACGGAGGGUGCGAGCGUUAAUCGGAAUCACUGGGCGUAAAGCGUGCGUAGGCGGCGCAUCAAGUCAGACGUGAAAGCCCUCGGCUCAACCGAGGAAUUGCGUUUGAAACUGAUGUGCUAGAGUCUCGGAGAGGUUAGGGGAAUUCCAGGUGUAGGAGUGAAAUCCGUAGAUAUCUGGAGGAACACCGGUGGCGAAGGCGCCUAACUGGACGAGUACUGACGCUGAGGUACGAAAGCGUGGGGAGCAAACAGG
rnacentral:rRNA from 1 species